UACGUAGGGUGCGAGCGUUGUCCGGAAUUAUUGGGCGUAAAGAGCUCGUAGGCGGUCUGUCGCGUCGGAUGUGAAAACUCGGGGCUCAACCCCGAGCCUGCAUUCGAUACGGGCAGACUAGAGUUCGGUAGGGGAGACUGGAAUUCCUGGUGUAGCGGUGAAAUGCGCAGAUAUCAGGAGGAACACCGGUGGCGAAGGCGGUUCUCUGGGCCUGUACUGACGCUGAGGAACGAAAGCGUGGGGAGCGAACAGG
rnacentral:rRNA from 1 species